GAUGAUCAUCACAAGUGUUUCGGAAGCAGAACCUAUAGUUGACAGUGAAAUGCGUUUACCAUCAUAUCCUAUUUUAGCAGUGAAACAUAUACAGUGAAUCUUUAUAAUGAAUCAGUGCAAAUACAUUUUACAACAUGUGGUUAACAAUACACUGUUCAACAUACGAAAUUCAUCGAGAUGUGCAAAUGUACCAGAGACAAAAAUCCGAGAUGGCUUUGGGCGCUAAAGCAAAAGGUUGAUAAUAUAACAUUCAACCUACGAAAUUCACCGAGAUGUUCAAAUGCACAGAGAUAAAGCGUUGGGUGUUAAUAAACGUUAGAAAUUGCGUUGGGAGUAACGAAUUUCUAAAGCACAAGGUACAGCUAUUUCUAUUAGCAAUAAUAUUCUAUUUAUCACUAACAGAAUUUAUCUAUACAUUACUAUUUACUACUCUUAUUGGAAUUUAGAAUCGGCAUUGCAUGUUCUUUUUACGUUCGUAUUCUUUGAAACUAAAUAAUUCUUAGAAUUGUUCAACCCUUCCUGUUUCUCAGUAUCCAACAAGCUGCUGGACAUUUUGCUGGAUUUCAUCAUAAUCUACCAGUGGCUCGUGGUUCUCUUAAAGAGUUCUCACUAUGGCAGUUUAUUUCUUGAAUAGUAAUAUUAUUUCACUGAAAUUUCUCAAUAAUUUUUAUUUCCGUUUCGUAUAACUCUAUAAUUCUCAAGUGGUCAGUCUUGUUUGCAAAUUUCUGGUAAUUCGACCUCUUUUCACUAAAGUCCAACUCUGUAAUUGCUGUUAUUGUUGUGGGCUCCUGGGUUAAAGGGUCUGGUAAUAUGGCAAUGAUUUCAAGUAAAGCUUGAUCUUU